rnacentral:rRNA from 1 species
UUAAAAGAAGUAAACUUACUUUUCCCGAAAUAAAUGGAUCUAGUAAAUAAUAUUAUAUGUGUUUUAAAACAUAAUUUUAUUCUUUAUUAGGGGUGAAAGGCUUAUCAAUUUUUAGGAUAUCUGGAUUAAGUUAUAAUGUAUAUAGUACAGACAUAAUGUUGGGUAGAUUUCUGUUAAGGGAAAAUUAUUUUUAGAAAACUAAGAUGAUAUUUAUUUAAGAUAACUUUAAAGUAAUCUUACUUUAGAGUAGAUUUUUUUGUUUUAUUUCUUUUUAUAAAACUUUUAAAAAUUUUAAUUAAAAAAUUUUUUAAUAAUGUUAAAAUAAGUAUUAUUAAGCAAAUUUUAUUAAGGAACUCGGCAAAAUUUUAUUCAACUGUUUAUCAAAAACAUAGUUUUAUGUGUUCAUAUAAAAUGAAACCUGCCCAAUGAAGUUUUAAUGGCCGCAGUACUUUAACUGUGCUAAGGUAGCAUAAUAAUUUGGCUUUUAAUUAAAGUCUGGUAUGAAAGGAUUAAUGAAUAAAAACUGUCUUAUUUAAAUUAAAAAAAAUUACUUAAAAGGUGAAAAUUCCUUUAGUAAGCUAAUAGACGAGAAGACCCUAGGAGUUUGAAUUUUGUUGGGGCGACAUUUCAGUAAAAUAACCUAUUUAAAUGAUUUAACGAUUAUAUUAAUUAUAAUUAAACUACCCUAGGGAUAACAGCAUAAUUUAAAAAAGAUUGUGACCUCGAUGUUGG